rnacentral:rRNA from 1 species
AGAGUUUGAUCAUGGCUCAGAUUGAACGCUGGCGGCAGGCCUAACACAUGCAAGUCGAGCGGAUGAAGGGAGCUUGCUCCUGGAUUCAGCGGCGGACGGGUGAGUAAUGCCUAGGAAUCUGCCUGGUAGUGGGGGAUAACGUUCCGAAAGGAACGCUAAUACCGCGUACGUCCUACGGGAGAAAGCAGGGGACCUUCGGGCCUUGCGCUAUCAGAUGAGCCUAGGUCGGAUUAGCUAGUUGGUGAGGUAAUGGCUCACCAAGGCGACGAUCCGUAACUGGUCUGAGAGGAUGAUCAGUCACACUGGAACUGAGACACGGUCCAGACUCCUACGGGAGGCAGCAGUGGGGAAUAUUGGACAAUGGGCGAAAGCCUGAUCCAGCCAUGCCGCGUGUGUGAAGAAGGUCUUCGGAUUGUAAAGCACUUUAAGUUGGGAGGAAGGGCUGUAGGCUAAUAUCCUGCGGUUUUGACGUUACCAACAGAAUAAGCACCGGCUAACUUCGUGCCAGCAGCCGCGGUAAUACGAAGGGUGCAAGCGUUAAUCGGAAUUACUGGGCGUAAAGCGCGCGUAGGUGGUUAGUUAAGUUGGAUGUGAAAUCCCCGGGCUCAACCUGGGAACUGCAUUCAAAACUGACUGACUAGAGUAUGGUAGAGGGUGGUGGAAUUUCCUGUGUAGCGGUGAAAUGCGUAGAUAUAGGAAGGAACACCAGUGGCGAAGGCGACUACCUGGACUGAUACUGACACUGAGGUGCGAAAGCGUGGGGAGCAAACAGGAUUAGAUACCCUGGUAGUCCACGCCGUAAACGAUGUCAACUAGCCGUUGGGAGCCUUGAGCU